CUGCCCUCAAGCGCGGCUUGUGUGUUGGGCGUGGUCCCCCGGCCCCGGGGGACCUGCCCCAAAGGCAGCGGCGACGUCCCGUCUAGGUCCUCGAGCGUAUGGGGCUUUGUCACCCGCUCGGGAGGGGCCUGCGGGCGUUGGUCACCCCUAUUUCUUAUUGUAC
rnacentral:misc_RNA from 1 species